rnacentral:rRNA from 1 species
UACAGAGGUGGCAAGCGUUGUUCGGAAUUACUGGGCGUAAAGGGCGCGUAGGCGGCCUUCUAAGUCAGACGUGAAAUCCCCCGGCUUAACCUGGGAACUGCGUCUGAUACUGGGAGGCUAGAGUGCGGGAGAGGGAUGCGGAAUUCCAGGUGUAGCGGUGAAAUGCGUAGAUAUCUGGAGGAAGACCAGUGGCGAAGGCGGGUCUCUGGACAGUUCCUGACGCUGAGGCACGAAGGCCAGGGGAGCAAACGGG